UGGGGAAUUUUGGACAAUGGGCGAAAGCCUGAUCCAGCAAUGCCGCGUGUGUGAAGAAGGCCUUCGGGUUGUAAAGCACUUUUGUCCGGAAAGAAAUCCUUGGCUCUAAUACAGUCGGGGGAUGACGGUACCGGAAGAAUAAGCACCGGCUAACUACGUGCCAGCAGCCGCGGUAAUACGUAGGGUGCAAGCGUUAAUCGGAAUUACUGGGCGUAAAGCGUGCGCAGGCGGUUUGCUAAGACCGAUGUGAAUCNCACGGGCUCAACCUGGGAACUGCAUUGGUGACUGGCAGGCUAGAGUAUGGCAGAGGGGGGUAGAAUUCCACGUGUAGCAGUGAAAUGCGUAGAGAUGUGGAGG
rnacentral:rRNA from 1 species